UCCCCCGUGGGGGCCUGGGUUAGGGUCCCUGGGACCUGGGGGGUGGGGAGGUGGCCUGGGUUAGGGUCCCUGGGACCUCCCCCGUGGGGGCCUGGGUUAGUAGUAGAGGCUAUGGCACAAUUUCUGGCAGGUCUGGGGUCCUCUCUGGGAUUUCCCCCCUCACCCCACACUGCUCCUCGGAGGCCGAAUCCGGCCGGAUCUGGCCCUCUGCUGAGCUCCCUGCCCCAGGUGAACUUAUGUCCUGGGGACAAGCCCGCGCUCCCUGGCAGUGACUCUGCAGUUUCUUCCUAAGUUCCAUCGCUCCCCGGUUCCUUUAAAUAGUCUGAAAAGAUGUUUUCUCCCCAUUUCAUCAUUGCUCUCUGCAGAGAAUUUGGCCUGAUGAAGGCCACUUGCUGCUGCUGGAACCCACAUUGAUCCAGGUGACUGAGCACCAUUAACAGGCCUGACUGACAGGAGGUGGCCCUGGGCCCUUCAGCUCCAGAGCCGCAUCUCAGGCCCGCGUUCGUGGGCUCUGGGUCCACAGAGCAAGCCUUGUGCACGCCAAUCCCUUUGUAGCACGUUGACCCAGGCUCUGAUCAGAUUGCAAACAGGCUGGAAUCCAGCGCAAGAAGAACAUGACCUGAGAUGCAUUUUUAAACUUGGAAGGACAUUCCAAAAUAGAUGGAGGCCAGAGAAGAACUCGCCCUGGACACCCGGGCUGGGGAUGGAACUCGGCCUUCAUAGGCACAUGCCACCCCAGGCCAAGGACAAAACGAGGGAUUCCAAGCCAAGAUGGAUCCCAGGGGAGCUCUGGAAACGCUGGAAAGACGAAGGAAGACGGGGUGCAGGCUGUGUGCUGGGGAGCCGAGGCCAGCGUGGGCCACCGUGUGUUACUUCCAUGCAGCACCACGCCCAGCUGGCAGGGCGAGGGUGUCCGGGCUGUUCCGCAAACGCUGGAGGGAACUUCACCCAGCCCCGAGACACCCUGACACGACUCCUCCUCACUGCAGACCCCUGGGCUGAGCGCCCUGGGUCCUGCCGUCCCGCCCUGUGCCCGAGCCCCCUUGUAAAAGCUCUCCCCAGCCUCCGGUGUUUCUCUCAGGACCCAACUGACCCCAUCUCGGAAGGCUGUGUCCCCCUAAGGGAACCCCCAGCCACAACUCUUUGGCCACUCCAGCUGUGGGUUAGGGGGACAAAGGUACUGCCAUAGCCCCUUCAGGACCCCUCUUCCCACCAGUGCCCUAGGUCAGUACCCUAGGUCUAUCCCUAAGCACCCCUUUCUCGUUACUAGAGUUAACUUUUAAAGUCUGUUUUCUGAGCAGGCAGGGUGGCGCAGCCUGCGAUCCCAGCUACUCAGGAGGCUGAGGAAGGAGGAUCCCAAGUCCAAGGCCAGCCUCAGCAAAGGUCCUGUCUCAAAAUAAAACCAGACAAAAAGGGCUGGGAGGUGGCUCAGCAGCAGGAUGUCCGUGGGUUCGAUGCCCAGUAUCAUACACUGGUUGACUGGACAAGUAAUUAAACGUGUUUCCCGCUG